rnacentral:rRNA from 1 species
AACGAACGCUGGCGGCAUGCCUAACACAUGCAAGUCGAACGAGACCUUCGGGUCUAGUGGCGCACGGGUGCGUAACGCGUGGGAACCUUCCCUUAGGUUCGGACUAACUCCCCGAAAGGGGUGCUAAUACCGGAUAAUGUCUUCGGACCAAAGAUUUAUCGCCUUUGGAUGGACCCGCGUUGGAUUAGCUAGUUGGUAGGGUAAAAGCCUACCAAGGCGACGAUCCAUAGCUGGUCUGAGAGGAUGAUCAGCCACACUGGGACUGAGACACGGCCCAGACUCCUACGGGAGGCAGCAGUGGGGAAUAUUGGACAAUGGGCGAAAGCCUGAUCCAGCAAUGCCGCGUGAGUGAUGAAGGCCUUAGGGUUGUAAAGCUCUUUUACCCGGGAUGAUAAUGACAGUACCGGGAGAAUAAGCUCCGGCUAACUCCGUG